rnacentral:rRNA from 1 species
AACGAACGCUGGCGGCAGGCUUAACACAUGCAAGUCGAACGCCCCGCAAGGGGAGUGGCAGACGGGUGAGUAACGCGUGGGAAUCUACCCAGAUCUUCGGAACAACUGAGGGAAACUUCAGCUAAUACCGGAUACGCCCUACGGGGGAAAGAUUUUAUCGGAUUUGGAUGAGCCCGCGUUGGAUUAGCUAGUUGGUGGGG